rnacentral:rRNA from 1 species
UGGGGAAUAUUGGACAAUGGGGGCAACCCUGAUCCAGCAAUGCCGCGUGUGUGAAGAAGGCCUGCGGGUUGUAAAGCACUUUCGGUGGGGAGGAAAGGCUCUAGGCUAAUAUCCUAGAGAGAUGACGUUACCCACAGAAGAAGCACCGGCUAACUCUGUGCCAGCAGCCGCGGUAAUACAGAGGGUGCAAGCGUUAAUCGGAAUUACUGGGCGUAAAGGGUGCGUAGGUGGUUAGAUAAGUUAGGUGUGAAAGCCCCGGGCUCAACCUGGGAAUUGCGCCUAAUACUGUUUAGCUAGAGUACUGUAGAGGAAGGUGGAAUUUCCGGUGUAGCGGUGAAAUGCGUAGAUAUCGGAAGGAACAUCAGUGGCGAAGGCGACUUUCUGGACAGAUACUGACACUGAGGCACGAAAGCAUGGGGAGCAAACAGG